GUUCUCGCUUCGGCAGCACAUAGACUAACAAUGGAGUGACAUGAAAAGAUUCGCGUGGCCCCUGUGUAAGGAUGACAUGCAAAUUCAUGAAGCAUUCCAUAUUUAA